rnacentral:tRNA from 1 species
GGCCGGAUCGUCUAAAGCUCCAGGACACCCGUCUUGUAGUACGGGAGAUGCAGGUAUCCGCGAAUCCUGCUCUGGCCACCA